UAGCUCGUAGCUCAAUUGGCAGAGCGCGCGACUGUUAAUCGCGUGGUUGGAGGUUCGACUCCUCCCGGGCUAGC
rnacentral:tRNA from 1 species